GCGGACGGGUGAGUAAUGUCUGGGAAACUGCCUGAUGGAGGGGGGAUAACUACUGGAAACGGUAGCUAAUACCGCAUAACGUCGCAAGACCAAAGAGGGGGGACCUUCGGGCCUCUUGCCAUCGGAUGUGCCCAGAUGGGGAUUAGCUAGUAGGUGGGGGUAAAGGCUCACCUAGGCGACGAUCCCUAGCUGGUCUGAGAGGAUGACCAGCCACACUGGAACUGAGACACGGUCCAGACUCCUACGGGAGGCAGCAUG
rnacentral:rRNA from 1 species